UACGUAGGGGGCGAGCGUUGUCCGGAUUUACUGGGCGUAAAGAGCGCGUAGGCGGAAAUUUAAGCGUGGCCUGAAAGCCCCCCGGCUCAACCGGGGAGUGCGGCUGCGAACUGGGUUUCUUGAGGACGAUAGAGGAGAGUGGAAUUCCUGGUGUAGCGGUGAAAUGCGUAGAUAUCAGGAGGAACACCCGAGGCGAAGGCGGCUCUCUGGGUCGUACCUGACGCUGAGGCGCGAAAGCGUGGGGAGCGAACGGG
rnacentral:rRNA from 1 species